GUCUGCGGUCAGAUCUCCCAGGAUGCGCCCGAUCUCAUCAUCACAUCUUGGAAGCUAAGUGGGUUUGUGCCUGGAUAGUGCUCGGAUGGGUGACCAUCAUUCGUAAAACAGGUCGUUAUGGGCU
rnacentral:rRNA from 1 species